AUGGCCGAUUUGACAGGGAGGAGCAUGGAACCACCAGCUGCUGCAUGGCCACCCUGCGGCUUUCCGGCCGACUGGUCCAUGGAACCUUUGUGGAUUCCUGGCUACCCUGCCGAUUCUGCAAUGUGCUUCCAAACACAUGUUCCUAGCAGCUCUAGCGGAGGGCAGCUGCAGCAGGUUCAGCAUGCGGCAGCCAUAGCACCAAAUUUAGCCAUCCAAGAAGAAGACGACGAAGAAGAUAAUGAUGAGGAAGAAGAAGAAGCACAAUACAAGAUGGAAAUGGAGAUCCACGACCCGAUCCAAGUAUUCACAGAAGCAACACAUGAAUUCAAGGUCGACAUCGACAUGAGGGACAUGAAGAUCCAUAGGUACCCUGCAAGCAUUAAACGUCUCAAAGGCUCCUACACCGCCCCGGCGACGGUGGCCGUCGGGCCUUACCACCAUGGGAAGGACCGCCUCAAACCCGCGGAGAAGGUGAAGCACGCGGCCGCCAACCACUGCAUCAUGGAGUCGGGGCGCUCCGUCCAAGAGAUGUACGCCGCGGUGGCCUCGGUCGCCGGCGAGGCCCGAGGGCUCUACGACAAGGACAUGGUGGCAGGUAUCGGCGACGAUGACUUCCUGCCCAUGAUGUUCUACGAUGCGUGCUUCCUGGUGCAAUACAUGCUCACGUGCACCAGUGGUGGCUCCGAGAUGGAUCCGUCGCUGCGCAGCUACUUCGACGGCAACGAUAGCGAUAUCUUCCACGACAUCAUGCUCCUCGAGAACCAGCUCCCGUGGCUGGUGGUCAAGACCGUCAUGGAGUUCAGGCCAGUGCCCUUGGAAGAGUUCAUCACUUACUUGAAAGAUGGCCUGCAAGACCGCAAAUUAACCGAGAAGAAGGAGAGGCAACACCAAGCCAUCGAGCUCGCGGAAAUCGGCAUCACGCUGACAGCCAACAAGACCAGCGAGCUCAUAGAGAUGGGCGUCAAGAACAAGCGGGUCCUCUUCGCCGAGAUCUCCUUGCCGCCAUUGUCCCUGGACCAUGCGCGCGCGAGCUGGCUCGUCAACAUGGCGGCCUUCGAGGUAUGCACCACCCCAAACUUCCAAGCGGUCGACGACGAGGAGUCCGUUGUUAGCUCAUACCUCCUCCUCUUUGCCAUGUUGGUGGACCGGGAGGAGGACGUGCACGAGCUACGAAGGAAGCGUCUCCUCCAGGGAGGAGGAGGGCUCACCAACAAAGAGGCGCUCGACUUCUUCACCAGCCUUCAGGGUCUACCUCUCGGAUCCAGCUAUAUCCGCAUCAUGGAAGAGAUUGAGAAUUACCGGGUGAAGAGGCGAACGCAGACCAAGUUGCACGCCUUCGUUUACAAGAACUUGAGGAUCAUCGUUACUGUCUUCUCCGCUGUUGGUGUACUUGCCGGUAUCUUCGGCUCACUUAUGUCUCUCAGGAGAAGAUCUUAA
rnacentral:rRNA from 1 species